rnacentral:rRNA from 1 species
UACGUAGGUGGCGAGCGUUAUCCGGAUUUAUUGGGCGUAAAGGGUGCGUAGGUGGCCUGUUAAGUAUAAAAUUAAAGCCCGAAGCUUAACUUCGGUUCGUUUUAUAAACUGGCAGGCUCGAGUACAGUAGAGGCAAAUGGAAUUCCUAGUGUAGUGGUAAAAUGCGUAGAUAUUAGGAGGAACACCAGUGGCGAAGGCGAUUUGCUGGGCUGUUACUGACACUGAGGCACGAAAGCGUGGGGAGCAAAUA